rnacentral:rRNA from 1 species
CCUACGGGAGGCAGCAGUGAGGAAUAUUGGUCAAUGGACGAGAGUCUGAACCAGCCAAGUAGCGUGAAGGAUGACUGCCCUAUGGGUUGUAAACUUCUUUUAUAUGGGAAUAAAAUGUUCCACGUGUGGGAUUUUGUAUGUACCAUAUGAAUCAAGAUCGGCUAACUCCGUGCCAGCAGCCGCGGUAAUACGGAGGAUCCGAGCGUUAUCCGGAUUUAUUGGGUUUAAAGGGAGCGUAGGUGGAUUGUGAAGUGAGUUGUGAAAGUUUGCGGCUCAAACGUAAAAUUGCAGUUGAAACUGGCAGUCUUGAGUACAGUAGAGGUGGGCGGAAUUCGUGGUGUAGCGGUGAAAUGCUUAGAUAUCACGAAGAACUCCGAUUGCGAAGGCAGUUCACUGGACUGCAACUGACACUGAGGCUCGAAAGUGUGGGUAUCAAACAGGAUUAGAUACCCCAGUAGUC